CUGUGUCCUUCGACGCCGGUUCACCGCCUGUAGGUGCCAACUGGCGUUUUGCGGGACGUCCUGUCGGUGGUGUGUCUGAAAUCUUAGUUGUGCUAUGCUUUGCUUAGUGCAGCUCUGGUUUUGGGCCACUUUCAUAAUCCCGCCGCGGUGCUCUUAAUCGAGUGUCGAGGCGGGCCGGCACGUUUACUUUGAACAAAUUAGAGUGCUUCAAGCAGGCUUGUCACGCCUGUAUACUGUGUGCAUGGAAUAAUGGAAUAGGACCUCGGUUCUAUUUUGUUGGUUUCCGGAAUCUGAGGUAAUGAUCAAUGGGGACAGGCGGGGGCAUUCGUAUUGCGACGUUAGAGGUGAAAUUCUUGGAUCGUCGCAAGACGGACCGAAGCGAAAGCAUUUGCCAAGUAUGUUCCCGUCGAUCAAGAACGAAAGUUAGAGGUUCGAAGGCGAUCAGAUACCGCCCUAGUUCUAACCAUAAACAAUGCCUGCCAGCGAUCCGCCGGCGUCCCUCCGAUGACCCGGCGGGCAGCUUCCGGGAAACCAGAGCUUUUGGGUUCCGGGGGAAGUAUGGUUGCAAAGCUGAAACUUAAAGGAAUUGACGGAAGGGCACCACCAGGAGUGGAGCCUGCGGCUUAAUUUGACUCAACACGGGAAAACUCACCAGGCCCGGACACCGGAAGGAUUGACAGAUUGAUAGCUCUUUCUUGAUUCGGUGGGUGGUGGUGCAUGGCCGUUCUUAGUUGGUGGAGCGAUUUGUCUGGUUAAUUCCGAUAACGAACGAGACUCUAGCCUACUAACUAGACGUAUCUGGUAUCAGCAAUCGUGCUACCAGCGAUCAUAUCUCUUCUUAGAGGGACAGGCGGCUUCUAGCCGCACGAGACUGAGCAAUAACAGGUCUGUGAUGCCCUUAGAUGUCCUGGGCCGCACGCGCGCUACACUGAAGGAAUCAGCGUGUCUUCCCUGUCCGAAAGGACCGGGUAACCCGCUGAACCUCCUUCGUGCUUGGGAUUGGGGCUUGCAAUUGUUCCCCAUGAACGAGGGAAUUCCCAUAAGCGCGAGUCAUAAGCUCGCGUUGAUUACGUCCCUGCCCUUUGUACCACCGCCCGUCGCUACUACCGAUUGAAUGAUUUAGUGAGUCUU
rnacentral:rRNA from 1 species